CAAAGCCACGUGCAAGUUGAGAAAGAGUGAUAUGUAGAGAAAGAGGGAGCUUCCUCGGAGUACAACGUCGGCGACGCUUCAAUUUGGUUUACAUGCUUAACAGAGGACGAGAAGUGCUGCAAAAGUAACCAUCGAUGACCUCAAGUACACAGAAGGUGCACUUGAGGUCUUUGGACGCCAUGAAAGUGGAAGAGAAGCCAAGAGGAAGGUCUCGAAAGUCGUAAUUCGAACAGAGGACCAAUGAAAACUAGCGUCGGAGAACGUCAAGAAGAGAGAAAAUGAAUGAGAAAUCGUGAGCUUUCCAUGUAUCGGGCACCCUAUCUCUCCCCUUCCUCUGGCCCCAUCUUGGUUCCUGGGUUGUCUUUCAGUACGUCGCGGAGCGUACCUCUCAACAUGUUUAAGGGGAGGGCGGUUGACAUAAUGAAGUCAAAGCACUGGUGGCUAAUGGUCUGAGUUCUUCAAGUGAUAUGACUGUUUGCGUCUCACUGUAACUAUUUGCUCUCGGCGCACCUAAUCUUUAGGCUAGUGUUUCGAUUUAAAGUCCGUAUGUACAAUGUU